AUGAUGACUGAACUGGAGGAUAGGGUGCAAAAGAGUGGGGACACCACAGCAGAACUUGGUUCAAAUAUGCAAAGCUUAAAGAAUAGUCUGGAGUGUCUGAGAGAGGAGCAGGAGAGAGAACGAAACAUGCUUGAGGAGACUCUGAAGCUGCUCACCACCUUAGUCUCGAAGCACUCAGCCAAACCCAGCCCUGAGAGAGUGACAGACACUGCCAUCCAGACAUCACCAGGGCUGGAACAGCCUUUCUCCAACAUCCUGCAGGAGAACAAGCUUGAAAGCACACAGCUUACAUGUAACUCAUACAACCUUGAGCACAAUCCGGCUAAAGUUACCCCUCAGGGUCCCAGCUGUGUCGCAGGAAAGAGGAAAUUCACUCAGAGAAGCAAUAGAAGGCGCAAAAAGAGGCCGCUGGUGCUCUCACAAAGGAAUAAGCGCAUUGUCACGAAUGAAAACAGUCGACCCCUCAUGAACUGUGACAAACAACAAAAUGUUUCAACACCUCUCUGUGAGCGCCGUGAUCCGAACAUGGUAACCAGCCAAAACAGGGAGGCGAGAUCCAUAGCUGAAGGUUGUUUCAUCACCCCUCUCAGCUGCUGGUCUCAGGACAGCAACAGCUCUGUGUGCCUUGCAGGAAUCGAACCCGUCUUAGAGAAGCUCUCAGCUGAGUCCGAGACAGGGACCCCAAUGAAACCCGAAGGGUUCUGGCAGUUGUUUGACAUGGAUUACGAUGUAGGCUUUUAGAGGAUGAGUAAUGGACUCAGAAGAGUGAAGCAUUUGUGUUCUUAUUUUUAGAGUAAAAGCCAAACAUUUUUGUUAUAUUUAUUAUUACUUGUGACCUAUGUUAGUUGUAAAGUCAUUCAGUUUUUUUUUGAAAAAUGAACACAUUGAUAAAUAAUUUUUGUCUUAUACUUAUGGUGGAAGAGCUGUGGAUGGGUGUAAAGAGACACUAUUAACAAGUGAGUUUAGGAUAGACUGACCCACAACUACACAUGUUUAGUUUACAAGUUUUUCUUCUGACAACAAAUAUUGUAAGAUUAAGUGUCUCUGCUGACUUUUAAAAAUUCAUUUAUUCUGCAUUUAUUCUGCUGACUUGGCAUUGCA
rnacentral:lncRNA from 1 species